UCUCUGAUGUUGUUGGUUCUUCUUUUUCUUCUUCACUGUUUGGUCCAAAAUGGAGAAAGCAAAGUUGCAAAAGAAACGAAAAGUUGUUCUUGUGGGUCGUUGGGAUGUCCUUGUGAUAGGGAUUUGCCUGUUGAUGAGCUCAAAGAUUCGGCUCUCAUGCAGCAUUAUAAGAGGAUGAGGGAAUUCGUGGAUGAGACAGCAGAAGAAUAAGACGCAAUCCUGGAGUUGAAAGAAAAAUGUAAUUCUAAAUUUCAUCAAUAAAACUGCAUUUUUAAGCAA